rnacentral:lncRNA from 1 species
AACUUAUCUGGUACCUGAUAGUAUAGAAAUAAAUUGAAAUCUCAAUUCAUGGAGUGAAAAAAGGAUCUCUAAAGUCCCAUCCAGCUCUAAAAUCUGAUAAUUCUAGAAGUUGGAGCAGAUAACUUCCAAAAUAAGGUAAUUUAAUCUAGUUGCAUCCUCUUUUCAAAAUACAGAAAUGUUAGAUUCAAAAAGCAUAUUAAAAAUAACUAAUGCUUAACCAAGUUUGAAAGAAAGAAGUUUUUUGAUGUCAGAAAUGAAAAGGACCUGAAAGGCACAGCUUUUAGGCCCGUGGGAUACCCAGUAUCAAUAUAAGCCCCAAGAACUCAGGUUUUGGAAUACAUAUAGGAAUAGAAGACAUAGCUUUGGAUCUUAUGGGUGGGAGUUCUAAUUAAGACCUCUUUAUGAAGUGACCGUCUCAAGGAACUCCGCUCCAUGAAAUGACAAGACAUAACUUCCCGCCAAAUUAGGGAAGCUACAGAGGAGAUUGUCAUUGGCCUGGUUAUUCUUGAUGAAGGAAGAAAAAUCUGUUACAGACAGAGUUGUUCAGUGGAAAGUCUGGGGUAAGUUCCUGAUUUAGAACAGGCUUUAGUGCACUUUAAAAGGAAAACAAUGAAUUAUAUAAAACUUUUAGAGGACACAGUGGUGCCAGAUUUUUGUUGGAUUCCUGUGCUUUCCUCCUCCAAAUAGUUACCAAAAAAUAUUCCUUUGGGAAUUAGUAUCAAAAGGAUUCUAUAGCAUCUCAAAAGAAUCUUAUUCACUUUGGGAGGCCGAGGCAGGCAGAUCACAAGGUCAGGAGAUCGAGACCAUCCUGGCUAACACGGUGAAACCCCAUCUCUACUAAAAAUACAAAAAAUUAGCCAGGCGUGGUGGUGGGCGCCUGUAGUCCCAGCUACUCGGGAGGCUGAGGCAGGAGAAUGGCGUGAACCCAGGAGGCAGAGCUUGCAGUGAGCCGAGAUCGCUCCACUGCACUCCAGCCUGGGAGACAGAGUGAGACUCCGUCUCAAAAAAGAAAAAAAAAAAUCUUAUGCAGUAGUCUUAUUUAAUAAAAUCCACUACAAGGAGAGAAGACUGCUGCCUUGACUAUAUAGAAAGGGUUGGCAGAUAUUUCAUUCUAUCAGUUGUAACUAGUAAUCCCAUUGUUAUACAUGCUGACCCAAAAUAUAGCUGUUAUUAACCAAAUAAUGCAUUUUUCUUGAUAAAUGUUGAUUAAAUCAGAUUGGAAGCAAAAUGGUAAUAUUUAUGAUCAAUUUUAGUUUGGAUGUUCAAUGUCAAGACCAAACCCUCUUCACAGCUACCAACUUCAAUUUUAUGUGGAAAACUAAUGGUGAAGAGUUUCAAACUUUAACUGACACUUGACAUUUAACAGGGUAUGUAAUUGCUCACACACAACCUUUAGGUUUUGUAAUCCAGUUUUAUCUCAUACAAUAUUAGAAACAGUACACAUUGUAAAUACCUAUUUUAAAAGUUAGCCAUAUUUUAUAAAGUCACAUGUAUUUAUAUCUUUUCUGAGUAAUUUUCCUGUUAAUGCCUUAUGAUAGGUGCUUGUAACAUGAAAACUAAACUUGGAUCUUGGCAUAUUCAGUGUUCUAUAGAUAGAUUGUGAUCUGUAUAGCUUCUACGGUGACUUUCAGGCCUAAUGUCUCCUUUUAAGUUGUUAUUCUUUAAUAUCCUUUCUCAUUCCUUUCAGAGGACCUAUUAUUAGUUUGCAUUGUCUGCAGCAUUUCAAUAAUACUGUUCUAUUCUAAUAA